GAUGAACGCUGGCGGCGUGCCUAAUACAUGCAAGUCGAGCGAACGGACGAGAAGCUUGCUUUUCUGAUGUUAGCGGCGGACGGGUGAGUAACGCGUGGAUAACCUACCUAUAAGACUGGGAUAACUUCGGGAAACCGGAGCUAAUACCGGAUAAUAUUUUGAACCGCAUGGUUCAAAAGUGAAAGACGGUCUUGCUGUCACUUAUAGAUGGAUCCGCGCUGCAUUAGCUAGUUGGUAAGGUAACGGCUUACCAAGGCAACGAUGCAUAGCCGACCUGAGAGGGUGAUCGGCCACACUGGAACUGAGACACGGUCCAGACUCUUACGGGAGGCAGCAGUAGGGAAUCUUCCGCAAUGGGCGAAAGCCUGACAGAGCAACGCCGCGUGAGUGAUGAAGGUCUUCGGAUCGUAAAACUCUGUUAUUAGGGAAGAACAUAUGUGUAAGUAACUGUGCACAUCUUGACGGUACCUAAUCAGAAAGCCACGGCUAACUACGUG
rnacentral:rRNA from 1 species